CAGCAGCCACGGUAGUACGAAGGGUGCAAGCGUUAAUCGGAAUUACUGGGCGUAAAGCGCACGCAGGCGGUUUGUUAAGUCAGAUGUGAAAUCCCCGAGCUUAACUUGGGAACUGCAUUUGAAACUGGCAAGCUAGAGUCUUGUAGAGGGGGGUAGAAUUCCAGGUGUAGCGGUGAAAUGCGUAGAGAUCUGGAGGAAUACCGGUGGCGAAGGCGGCCCCCUGGGCAAAGACUGACGCUCAGGUGCGAAAGCGUGGGGAGCAAACAGGAUUAGAUACCCCGGUAGUCCCUGUCUCUUAUAA
rnacentral:rRNA from 1 species